CCCUUAGAUGUUCUGGGCCGCACGCGCGCUACACUGACGAUGGCAACGAGUUUUUCCUUCGCCGAAAGGUGUGGGUAAUCUUUUGAAACAUCGUCGUGCUGGGGAUAGAUCAUUGCAAUUUUUGAUCUUGAACGAGGAAUUCCUAGUAAGCGCGAGUCAUCAGCUCGCGUUGAUUACGUCCCUGCCCUUUGUACACACCGCCCGUCGCUACUACCGAUUGAGUGAUCCGGUGAAUGAUUCGGACCAGCGUGCUGCUCAGAUCCUGCGCAGUGUGCUGGGAAGUCUAGUGAACCUUAUCACUUAGAGGAAGGAGAAGUCGUAACA
rnacentral:rRNA from 1 species